rnacentral:rRNA from 1 species
CCUACGGGUGGCAGCAGUGAGGAAUAUUGGUCAAUGGGCUUACGCCUGAACCAGCCAAGUCGCGUGAGGGAAGACUGCCCUAUGGGUUGUACACCUCUUUUGUCAGGGAGCAACGCCGACUACGUGUAGCCGGACUGCGAGUACCUGAAGAAAAAGCAUCGGCUAACUCCGUGCCAGCAGCCGCGGUAAUACGGAGGAUGCGAGCGUUAUCCGGAUUUAUUGGGUUUAAAGGGUGCGUAGGCGGAAUGCCAAGUCAGCGGUAAAAUCGCGGGGCUCAACCGUAAAAUUGCAAUUGAUACUGGCAGUCUUGAGUAUAGUUGAGGUAGGCGGAAUUCGUGGGGUAGCGGUGAAAUGCUUAGAUAUCACGAAGAACUCCGAUUGCGAAGGCAGCUUACUAAACUGCCACUGACAUUGAUGCUCGAAAGUGUGGGUAUCAAACAGGAUUAGAUACCCGAGUAGUC